rnacentral:rRNA from 1 species
GAAAAGCAGCAUCGUUGAAGGUGAAAAUCCUGUAGAUGAUAUGGACUACCAGUACUCUUGUGAUACGGUUUCUAAGAGUCGAGUUGUUUGGGAAUGCAGCUCAAAGUGGGUGGUAAAUUCCAUCUAAGGCUAAAUAUAAGUGAGARACCGAUAGCAAACAAGUACCGUGAGGGAAAGAUGAAAAGAACUUUGAAAAUAGAGUUAACAGUACGUGAAAUUGCUGAAAGGUAAACGUUUGAAGUUAGUUUUGUAUUCGUUGGAUCAGCUUCGCAAGGAGUGUAUUCUGAUGAUAAGCAAGUCAACAUCAGUCUAUGAGUGUUGGAGAAGGGUUUUGAGAAUGUAGCAAUUUAAUUGUGUUAUAGCUUGAGACUUGGAUACRAUGCUUUGGAUUGAGGAACGCGUAGUAAGCUUUGAGCGGAUUCGAAAGGAUCUCCUUACUAUGGAUGUUGGUGAAAUAACUUUAAGCGACCCGUCUUGAAACACGGACCAAGGAGUCUAACAUGCUUGCGAGUAUUAGGGUGUUGAAACCCGAAUGCGUAAUGAAAGUGAAUCUAAGAUGUGAUCCGCAAGGUGCAACAUCGGCCAGUCUGGAUCAUUUAUGURAAGGUACUGAGCAAGAGCAAGUAUGUUAGGACCCGAAAGAUGGUGAACUAUGCCUGGAUAGGGUGAAGUCAGAGGAAACUCUGAUGGAAGCUCGUAGCGGUUCUGACGUGCAAAUCGAUCGUAGAAUCUGGGUA